UGGCGGCAGGCCUAACACAUGCAAGUCGAGCGCCCUCUUCGGAGGGAGCGGCGGACGGGUUAGUAACGCGUGGGAACGUGCCCUUCUCUACGGAAUAGCCCAGGGAAACUUGGAUUAAUACCGUAUACGCCCUUCGGGGGAAAGAUUUAUCGGAGAGGGAUCGGCCCGCGUUAGAUUAGGUAGUUGGUGGGGUAAUGGCCUACCAAGCCUACGAUCUAUAGCUGGUUUGAGAGGAUGAUCAGCAACACUGGGACUGAGACACGGCCCAGACUCCUACGGGAGGCAGCAGUGGGGAAUCUUGGACAAUGGGCGCAAGCCUGAUCCAGCCAUGCCGCGUGAGUGACGAAGGCCCUAGGGUCGUAAAGCUCUUUCGCCUGUGAAGAUAAUGACGGUAUCAGGUAAAGAAACCCCGGCUAACUCCGUGCCAGCAGCCGCGGUAAUACGGAGGGGGUUAGCGUUGUUCGGAAUUACUGGGCGUAAAGCGCACGUA
rnacentral:rRNA from 1 species